AACGGAGCCUAAAAUUAAAUAUAGAAAAUGCUACGGGUCACCGGCCGCGCCUACCUCUUCAAAUCGCCUCACGAAAAUCCCCAACCAGACGCAUCCCAAAGACCCAAACCCAAGCGCCGCCACUGCCAGCCAUGUCGUCUCGCUUCCACCACGGCGGCGGCGACGACCACCGCGUGGGCGACGCGGGCGACGCCGCCCUCGCCCGCGACAUCGUCACGCUCCACAAGGCGCUCUCCCUCGACCCUUCCACCCACCGCCGCCGCACCCUACCACUCCCCUCCCCAUCCCCCGUCGUCACUGAGCAGCCGCGUAACAAGCCCCGUCUCAAGCCCUCCUCCUCCUCGUCGUCGUCGCGUAAGCUCCUGCCGUCCACCCCUAACUCCUCCUCCGCUUCCACUUCCUCGUCCUCGUCUUCCUUCUGGAAGAAGUCCCUGACUGCCAUUUCGCACCUGGGCCGCCGCCGCCUCGACUUCGCGUUCGCGCUGCAUGUGCACUCCGUCAACGGCCUCCCCGCUGCGCUCGAUGGGUCUGCGGUCUCCGUACGCUUCCGCCGAAUGUCCGUGUCCGCCUCCACCCGCCCCGUCGUGGCGGCCCUCGGCGCCGCCGCGUUCGAGGAGGCGCUCACGCUGCGGUCCCCGGUCUACUUCUCCCGCGGCGCAAAGGCCGUGGUCAAGUACGAGCCCCGUUCCUUUGUUGUCUCCGUCGCCGCCUCCACUCUCGAGCUUGGUAAGCACGAGGUCGACCUCACCCGCUUGCUCCCGCUCUCGUUCGACGAUCUCGAGGACGGCGGCGACUCCGGCUUCGGGAAGUGGAGCAGCAGCUUCCGGCUGUCCGGCCCCGCCCGCGGCGCGCGGCUUAACGUAACCUUCUCUUGCUCGCUCCUCGCGGGUGGCGUCGGCAGCGAGCAGCACAAGGCCGUGGAAGUGGCGGGGGUGCGGCGCGGAUCGAUGGCGCGGCCGGUGUCAGUGCAGGCACCAACGCCUGUGCCCGCGCGGAGCAGGGACGUGAGGGUGCUGCACGAGGUGCUGCCCAGCUUGAGGUCUGCCAGGUCGCUGCCUUUUGUUGGUGAUGGGGGUCUUGAUGCGAGGAAGGAGGAGGUGGCAGCACUGGACUGCAUGGAGGACGGGUCUCCGGAGGCAAAGCACUGCACAUCAGUAGAGGUUAAGAAGGGGGACUUGGUGCGCCCAGAUGGGGAUUGCAGCACGAUGGAGUUCAAUGUUGUUGGGCAUGGAGUUGAGGUUGCUUCAUAUGACCCACAAAGGCUCAAACAUGUGGAAACCAGCAAUGAGGCUGAUCAAAAUGAGGAUCCAGGGUUCAAAAUUGACGAAGAGGUAUCAUUCAAGCCUGUGCUAGUAUGUGGUGAUGUCGCUGAGGAUCAGACUGUUGGAGUGAAGACUGAGGUGGCAGUCUGUGAUGUUGCUGUUCAAAGGGAGAAUGUGGAAGACAAACAUGAUGGAAUAAUCAAAGCCAAUUCACUGCCUACCUCUGCUCUCGAAGCAGAGGAUCAGUUGGGAGCAGAUGUAGAACUGGAGGACCUGGAAUGUAUUUUGAACGAGCUCUUAGUUGCUAAGCCGGAGGAAUUUGAAUCACCAGUAGUAGAAGAUAAGUAUUCUAGGCGAUUGAGUUGCACAGCUGAUAGUUACAAGUCUGACAGUAGGAAGGGCAGAUCACGCAGCAUGGAUAUUUCAACAGAUUCUGUUGCUAAUGAGUUCUUGGAUAUGCUUGCAAUAGAGCAUAUCCCAUUUGGGCAACCCUCAGAUAGUGAUCCCGAGUCACCGAGGGAACGACUUUGGAAGCAGUUUGAAAAGGAAGCACUAGCAUCUGACAAAGCUAUUCUUGGUUUGGACUUUGAUGAUGGAAUUGAAGGACCUAUUUGUGAGAAUGUUGUGGAGGAUUUCGAUCUCUCUGCAAUGAUACAUGAGGCUGAGCUCGAGCUUCAGAAUGGAAGUCAACCCAUUGAUACCAAAUUUCGAGCUAAGUCGCUGGAAGACGAAGAAACUGAGGCCUUAAUGCGUCAAUUUGGGCUAAAUGAGAAGUCCUUCCAAUCUUCUCCUCCUGAAAGUAGAAGUGGGUUUGGUAGCCCCAUUAACCUCCCACCUGAGCAACCCCUGGAGCUACCACCAUUGGCUGAAGGUUUAGGUCCAUUUAUUCAGACCAAAGAUGGAGGAUUUCUGCGAUCAAUGAACCCAGCCCUGUUCAAAAAUGCACAAAACAGCUGCAGCUUGGUUAUGCAGGCUUCUUCCCCGAUUGUACUGCCGGCAGAGAUGGGAUCUGGGAUUAUGGAUAUAUUGCAUGGUCUGGCAUCAGUUGGAAUUGAGAAGUUAUCAAUGCAGGCAAACAAACUUAUGCCCCUAGAAGAUGUUAAUGGUAAAAUGAUGCAGCAGAUUGCCUGGGAGGCUGCUCCAGCUCUGGAGUCUGCUGAAAGAUAUGACCCGUUGGACUAUCAUAGCGUUGAUGCUUUGGUAGGAGGGGGUGGAAAUGCUCCCUCCAGUAAGAAGAAGAAAUGUAGGUGUGCUGAUCUUUCAUCAUCCUUGGGUGGGGAGAAUGCUUCAGAAUAUGUUUCACUUGAGGACCUUGCACCAUUAGCUAUGGAAAAGAUUGAAGCCCUUUCCAUUGAGGGUUUGAGGAUACAAUCUGGCAUGUCAGAAGAAGAGGCACCCUCCAAUAUCAGUGCAAAGCCUAUUGGGGAAUUUUCAUCUCUGCAAGGAAAGUGUGCAGAGAAUACCUGGUCCCUUGGUUUAGAGGGAACUGCAGGGUUGCAGCUUCUGGAUGUUAAGCAGAGUGGAGAAGAAGUUGAUGGAUUAAUGGGCUUAUCCAUCACUCUAGAUGAGUGGAUGAGGCUUGAUUCUGGGGUGGUGGACGAAGAAGAGCAAUACAGUGACCGGACAUCAAAGAUACUUGCUGCUCACCAUGCAAAAUCCAUGGAGUUAGCUGCUGAGAAUCGGAAUGGGGACAGAAAGAACAGGAGAUCUGGUAGAAGAUGGGGCCUGUUAGGAAAUAACUUUACAGUUGCUCUCAUGGUUCAACUCCGUGACCCACUGCGCAACUACGAGCCAGUGGGCACACCAAUGCUUGCAUUAAUUCAAGUUGAAAGGGUUUUUGUACCCCCAAAGCCCAAAAUCUACAGUACUGUCUCAGACAAAGGCAACAGCGAGCAGGAUGAUGAGGAACCCAAGACCGAAAAGGUUCCAGAUAAGGCAUUGGUCACGGAAGAGAAGGCUGAGGAAUUAGAGGAUCCCAUUCCCCAAUUCAAGGUUACAGAAGUGCAUGUCGCUGGUUUCAAGAGCGAACCUGAGAAGAAGAAACCAUGGGGCAAUCAAACGCAGCAGCAGUCUGGCUCUAGAUGGUUGCUUGCAGCUGGAAUGGGCAAGGGAAACAAGCAUCCUCUGAUGAAAUCCAAAGCUAUAGUGAAGCCAACCAAAGAGGCAGCUGGUCAGGCAGGAGACAUCCUCUGGAGCAUUUCUUCACGUGUUCAUGGAGCCGGGACCAGGUGGGGCGAGCUAACAGGAAGCAAGAGUCAUUCACGGAACCCAAAUAUCAUGCUUCAAAAGGACAAGAGAUUUCGGUGAUGGCUUGGUGGUCAGUAGUUAGCGCUGGGAAGGACGGACGGUUGGUCUAUCUCAUUAGAAAGGGGACGUAGCAAUUGGAAUGUCCUUGGUGGAUUGUGAAACCAUGUACAUUGAGUUCUCUUGCAUAGGAUCAGUACUUUUUAUAUGCUGCACAGUUCGUGAUCGGUGUUCCUUCCGAACUCUCGUGAGAACCGUGCAUAGAAACUGUUGUUUCUUUUGCCACAUUUAAGAGCAGCUUCUGCCUCUGAAGGUCACCACCUUGUACAGAUUUGCAGCGCUGGGCAGAGGUCAGUGCGGCAGCGUUGACGCCCCGUGGCUGUGAUGAUUCUAUCUACGAGGGUCCCCAUGAUCCAUAAAAAGCUUCGUUGGUUGGACGCAAGCUUUGUCUAAGGAAUUUGCGGGUCGUGUCUCGAUCGACAGCUCAUCAAACCAUCAUUCGGCACAGGGACAAAAGAAAAAAUGGAUGGAAUCUGUUCUCGUGAUAGCCUCCCCCGUCUCGUUCUACACUUCUACUCAUGCAUGCCAUUUCGUCCGGCUUUGUCGCAAGCCCAGCUGCCGAGAUCAAACUAGGGCUGGAAACGAGUCGAGCUCGGCUCGGUGUGGCUCGGUGCCUGAAUGAGCUCGGCUCGGCUCGUCCAUUCCACGAGCCGGUGAAAGAGGCUCGGCUCGCGAGCCAUAUUUUGGUGCUUUUCGUUGCAUUAUUUGGUGAAUUAACAUUAUAUAAAUUUGAAAUAUAGAAUCACCAUUCUACA